AAAUUGAAGAGUUUGAUCAUGGCUCAGAUUGAACGCUGGCGGCAGGGCCUAACACAUGCAAGUCGAACGGUAACAGGAAGCAGCUUGCUGCUUCGCUGACGAGUGGCGGACGGGUGAGUAAUGUCUGGGAAACUGCCUGAUGGAGGGGGAUAACGUACUGGAAACGGUGGC
rnacentral:rRNA from 1 species